CGCAUUGUGCAUGCAGCAUAUCAAUAAGCGGAGGAAAAGAAACUAACAAGGAUUCCCCUAGUAACGGCGAGUGAAGCGGGAAGAGCUCAAAUUUGAAAUCUUAAAGGGUUUCCCUUUACGAAUUGUAGUUUAAAGAAGUGUUUUCUGUUGAGGUUUUGGUAAAAGUUCUUUGGAAUAGGACAUCAUAGAGGGUGAGAAUCCCGUAUUUGACCUUUACUUUCAACUUUGUGAUACACUUUCAAAGAGUCGGAUUGUUUGGGAAUGCAGUCCAAAAUGGGUGGUAAAUUUCAUCUAAAGCUAAAUAUUGGCGAGAGACCGAUAGCGAACAAGUACCGUGAGGGAAAGAUGAAAAGAACUUUGAAAAGAGAGUUAAACAGUACGUGAAAUUGUCAAAAGGGAAGCGUUUGACACCAGUGUUGUUUUUCUGAAAAUCAAUUAAAGAACUGUUUAUGCUAAGUUGUUUAGACUUUAUCAGCUUAACUGUCUAGCUUUUUGCAUGUCUUUUUUUAAUGCACUUUUCAGUUUAACAAGUCAACAUCAAUUUCUUUUGUUGUAAAAGGGUUAUUGGAAGGUGGCUUUCUCUUCGGAGAAAGUGUUUAUAGCCUUUAGCCUCUGCAAUCGGAGAGAUUGAGGUCUGCAGCGUAGAUCCUUCGGGGUUAGAUACAUUUGUGCUAAGUUAUAGUCUUUUAUAGACAACUUGUUGACUAUAAUUGAGUCUUGUAGCUUACUCGCUUAUGCUAUUUUACCUACGCUUAGGAUGUUGAAGAUGUAGCACAUCAU
rnacentral:rRNA from 1 species